CAGGUUCGAAUCCUGCACGACCCACCAAUCGCUAAGGUGGAAGCGGUAGUAAAACGUGAAGGAUAACGUUGCAUCAGCAACGGCCCGAAGGGCGAGACGAAGUCGAGUCAUCCUGCACGACCCACCA
rnacentral:sRNA from 1 species